GACGAACGCUGGCGGCGUGCCUAAUACAUGCAAGUAGAACGCUGAAGGAGGAGCUUGCUUCUCUUGAUGAGUUGCGAACGGGUGAGUAACGCGUAGGUAACCUGCCUGGUAGCGGGGGAUAACUAUUGGAAACGCUAGCUAAUACCGCAUAAGAGUUGAUGUUGCAUGACAUUUGCUUAAAAGGUGCAAUUGCAUCACUACCAGAUGGACCUGCGUUGGAUUAUCUAGUUGGUGGGGUAACGGCUUACCAAGGCGACGAUACAUCGCCGACCUGAGAGGGGGAGAGGCCACACCGGGACUGAGACACGGCCCAGAAUCCUAAGGGAGGCAGCAGGAGGGAAUCUUCGGCAAAGGACGGAAGUCUGAACGAGGAAAGCCGCGGGAGGGAAGAAGGGUGUCGGAUCGGAAAGAUCUGUUGUAAGAGAAGAAAGAGAGUGAGAGUGGAAAGUUCACACUGUGACGGUACCUUACCAGAAAGGGACGGCUAACUACGUG
rnacentral:rRNA from 1 species